AAUGCCUUAGUCAUUUCACGAUUAUGUCAUAUUUAGAUGAAGAUAAACGUCAUGAGGAGAAGUGACAUCUGCAAAACUAAACCUGGUGUAGGCGUUGAUUGAGAAACGUAAAUCGCUAAAUUCACGGAUAACAACAUGAUCUAUGCUUGUUAAAGAAUUUGUAGUCUCUCAUUCUCCAGAAUAAUGUAACGACAAUUUUCUCAGCAUAUGGCAGCUAAAGGUUAUUGUCAUUGACUAUUAAUGAGAUAUGGGAUCACAGAAGAAUAAGUGGUUUUGUGUUGAAGUUGUCAUCCCAGGUCUUAUUUUGGUUUACUGUUCUUGCAUUAAUUAUGCAUAGGUGAAAUGAGUUCAAUGCAGACGAACCGAGCCUCCCAAAUUCAACUGUACAAAGUAGGACUCAGCUUGUUCAAUGUUAUAGCUAGAUUAUUUCAACGCUUUUUUGCACUGUUGAGGUUGAUAUUCAGCUGAGAGCUUUGGAAUUUGUAUAAAUAUGAUGUGAUCCCCAGCCUGUUUGCGAAUUGCAGAAAGCAGAGGAAAUUCUACAAGCGUGCAAAGAUCUGCUUUGACAAGAAACCGAAGAAAGGUGUCGAAGAGUUCCACUAUUUGAGCUGGCAUCCAAAAUCCCAAGGAGGGGUUUGAUAAGGAACAAGAAAUCAAUCCCAAGAUGAUUAAAUCAGAGUCAAUGGAAAAUCUUAUAGAAUCCGACGAGAAGAUGAAGAGGAAGAAAGUUGUUUCAGGAAAUAUUUUCAUCCGAAGUUACGAAAACACUGGAAGACUGUUCUGGUAGCCACUUUACUGUUGCUGUUUGGGUUUGCUUUUCUAAUUUGUGGAAUACUCAUAAUAGUGCUGCUUCAUCCAAAAUACAAAACAGGAGAAGGUCCAAAUGGUUACAUUUUCUUCAUAUGUUCUGCAAUGUGUCUUAUUCCGGGAGUGUAUCACGUGGUGUACUUCGUACGAGCAGUCAAGGGACACAAGGGCUACACAAUGGAAGACGUCACACUCUUUCAUGAAUGACGUCAUAAUAUAUCGGGGAAGACGCCGCAAUGUUUCAAGAAUGACGUCACAAUAUAUCGGAAAGAGUUGCCUGUAACAAACUAAAUUUGUGAAUGAAAGAAAUACAUUUUAGAUAUGAAAUGCAGAAAGAUUUUCUCGAAUAACUGCUUUGAUAGAAAAACAUUGCACAAAGACUUAAGUUAACGUACCAAAAUUUUGUUUUAUGAUUUUAAUAGAGGAAAUUUUAGAAAUAUAUAUCUUUAUUCCAUCAAUACUGUACAGAAAUAUUUGCAAACUCUCUCUAAAUAAAAAAAUGUAGAGUACCUUUCUUGAAAAGAUCUCUUCCAAAAUGAGGUUAGAAGUCUAGUCAAGAGCUUUGAUGUUGACUGCUGAUUGACUUUGCAUUGCCUCAGAUUUAAGGCAACCAAUACACAGAUACACAGUGCCUCUCAAAAAGAAGAUUAUGACAAUCUGAUAUUCUGAUCGGGAAUCCAUUAAGCCUUAGGUGGCCAGCUUUCCUUCAACUGGUUUCUUUAUCUUGUAACAAAUUAUAACUGCUAAUAGCAGGUGUACAUUUUGCAUUAACUGGAGAAAUUCCUUGUGAUGAAUCCUUUCAAACUGGCGAUUGACAUCUGAAAGUCUAAAAUCAUAAUUUCACAUAAAAUCUUCUCAUCUGCAUCUAAGCAUGCUCUAAAUCUUUCAUGACGACUAAAAAUUGAACUUAAUAUCAACGAAUCCUUCUUCUUCAUAAUGUAUCAAGUUUUAAAAAACUGUUUUAUACCAAAAGGCCCAGAGCUCCAUAGUUGUAUUAUAUAUGGCCUAUUUUCUUGAAAAGGACUUACUUUGAUACACUAGCCCUGCUU